CCUGCAUGAAGUUGGAAUUGCUAGUAAUCGCGAAUCAGAAUGUCGCGGUGAAUACGUUCCCGGGCCUUGUACACACCGCCCGUCACACCAUGAGAGUCGAUAACACCCGAAGCCUGUGAGCUUAACCUUUUAGGAGGCAGCAGUCGAAGGUGGGGUUGGUGAUUGGGGUGAAGUCGUAACAAGGUACC
rnacentral:rRNA from 1 species